GNNUUUUUUUUNNANGCUGGNGNCGUGCCUNAUACAUGCAAGUCGAGCGAACAGAUAAGGAGCUUGCUCCUUUGAAGUUAGCGGCGGACGGGUGAGUAACACGUGGGUAACCUACCUAUAAGACUGGGAUAACUUCGGGAAACCGGAGCUAAUACCGGAUAACAUUUAGAACCGCAUGGUUCUAAAGUGAAAGAUGGUUUUGCUAUCACUUAUAGAUGGACCCGCGCCGUAUUAGCUAGUUGGUAAGGUAACGGCUUACCAAGGCGACGAUACGUAGCCGACCUGAGAGGGUGAUCGGCCACACUGGAACUGAGACACGGUCCAGACUCCUACGGGAGGCAGCAGUAGGGAAUCUUCCGCAAUGGGCGAAAGCCUGACGGAGCAACGCCGCGUGAGUGAUGAAGGGUUUCGGCUCGUAAAACUCUGUUAUUAGGGAAGAACAAAUGUGUAAGUAACUGUGCACAUCUUGACGGUACCUAAUCAGAAAGCCACGGCUAACUACGUGCCAGCAGCCGCGGUAAUACGUAGGUGGCAAGCGUUAUUCCGGAAUUAUUGGGGCGUAAAGCGCGCGUAGGCGGUUUCUUAAANUCUNUUGUGAAAGCCCNNGGCUCAACCNUGGGAGGNUCAUUGGGAAACUGGGAAACU
rnacentral:rRNA from 1 species